CUGGAUGUCACGCAGAAGCUGCCCAGUGCUCUGAGAAGAAGCGAAACCAGAAAGGAGGGAAGGGCCAGCCAGGGAAGUGGAGAGAGAGAUCCAGAGGCAGGAGAGGACAGGUGAGCAGGAAACUCUGGGGAGACCCACACAUCCCUCCAUCCUGGCGCAGGAGACUGCUGCUUCCGGGAGCCGUUGUUUGGGCUUGUUUGCGCUUCUGCAGCCUGGAGCUGCGAUUUAUUUCUUUAAAACAUCCCCUCGCUCGACACCCUGCAAUCUGUUCCGUGCUGCGGAAGACUCGUCUCGCCGUAUGUUUCUGUAGCACUUGGCAGGCUCCCUGCGGAGGCUGUCCUUCCCCAGCCCACCCCCAGUCGAGGUGGCUGCCCCCACCUGCACCUUCAGCUUGGAGGGUAACCCUUCAGGGGUCCCCCAGGAGCUUCAGGGACGACAGCAGCAGGUCUGAGACCAGGGACUGGCCCGCAGACCCCCGGGGUGGCUAUAAACUGUCAGGCCAGGAAGUCGAGGAUGCCCAGGCAGCCAACCCGGCCCUCAGUUGCUGGCUGCCCUUCAGCUUCCUGCUCAGUAGCAGGCUUUGGCUGCCACCCACUCCAGGAACUCGGAGGCACUGCCAAAGAAUUUGGACUGGGUCUCUACAGCACCCGGCCCUCCCAGGUGCUACUCGAUGUACACAUGUUUGGGUCACACAUGACAAUGGGAGGAGCUGUGGGCUGAGACCCAGGGAUCCAGCAAGGUUGCAGCCUGGUACUUUUCACAGCCAGAUACCCAGGUAUGAACUGCGCUAGAUCCGCAAUCCCCAGUGUGACCUCAGCAAGGUUCUCACUUCCCAGCCUCAGUCUCCCCAACCUGUGAAAUGGGGCCUUGGUGAGGGUGUGUGGUCCAUGCAGAGCCCUGGCAUUGAGCCCAGCACAGUGGGCACCACUCACUGUUGCCAUGGUGACCAGACUGACAGGUGGCACCUUUAUAUGCUCGACAUUCUUCAGCCCUCUGCUCAGAGCUUGGUAUGGGUGUCCAGGGCCACAAUGACAAAGAACUGUAAAGCAGCCACAGUAGACAAGAGAAAUACAUUCUUUUACUGUCAAGG